UAAUCAUGAUACUACUACCAUUAGUAAAAUAGGACAGCCCGAGCAUAAAAUCUCCCGCUAUACAUGGUAUCCGAGGAAAAACUAGAGCACAAGGAUACGCAAUCUGAUCCUACAUUUCUACAAGAGGUUAUUUCGAUGGCUUAAACCCGUCGUCCUCCUGAUCACAUGACGACAACUUUACCAAUUACACCAACGCUCCCCUUCUUACCCUUUAUAUCAGUCUAGACGCGAUACUCAAGAAUUGAAUUAAGUUGUAAAUCAAAACAACUAGCAAUGAUCUUUCACCAGCACUCUUACAAUUUGUCAAUAACAAAAUUUUGCUUACAGUACACUAGCAUAAAUAAAAUUCCAACGGCAUAGCAAUCUAUCUCCCCACUAGAAACAAUGUUGUUCCUGGCUGUCACUUCUUACCAUCCCUAUUAGAAAAACACCAAUACCUGGGCUUGAUACUUCCCCUUGACGGAAUGAACUCCUGUUAUCUACCACGAGUGUGUCCAUUGUCAAAUUACUGUUGUGCGCAUUGCACUCUCUGGGCACCACCAUGCAUAUCGUCAUCAUCUUCUUCAUAUGCCUCUUGGGCCUGUUGCUGCUGCUUCCUGCGCAUUUCCUCUUCAAUGUUGACAUCAUGCAAGGUGGUCUCCUCGCACUCAUCCAAUUCCAUAUCGGUCGCUUGUGUUUUGGGUUUUUGGGGCAGCACUGCUUCAAGAUUCUUGCACAACUCUGGGGUUAAUGCGUCCGGGAAGUCCACAGUGAAGUGAAUGUACAGUUUACCUCUCAUGAACGAGCUCUGGUACAGCGGCAUUCCUUCAUCAUUUAUGCCCUUGAACUGAUCUAUGGUGCCAAAAACAGAAAUUACACAAUAUCAGCAAACAUAAAUAGAUAACUACCAGUAGAGAAACACCAACCAUAGGAUACUCUCCCCACCCCCAUCCCUGCUCCCCCCCGGUGAUAUGUGUAUCAGCAAGAAGACCGUUUAACCAUGAGCAAGAGACGGUCAUCUAGAGGCAUAUACUUAUCAAUGCAUGCUCACCAUGUAAACACAAAGAAAGUGAGGUAUAGCAUAAGACAACAAAAGUAGACUAAGCAUGCACAUUUGUUAAGUUUUUUUUUUUCUAAAAAAAAAAGGAAAUAAAAGGAACACAAAGAAUUCAAAAACAUGAUAAUGGUCUAGUUACCAGCUUGAGGGCUCAAAGAAAAGCAUAUUAUAAAAAGGGCAGUGUGUUGCACUAAGCUCCCGCUAUGCGUGGAUAGUGGGGUCCGGGAAAGGACCAGACCACAAGGAUCCGUAGUACGCAGCCUUACCUUGCAUUUCUGCAAGAGGCUGUUCUACGAAUCAAACACGUCACCUCCUGGUCACAUGGAUGCAACUUAACCAGUUACGCCAAGACUCCCCUUCAAAGAAAAGCAUACAAAUGCAAGGAAAUUUAUUAGUAUUCAUAUCAAAGAUAUUAAAAGUUAACACUGAAAGCACAUGCCAGGACAAAAAAGACUAUAUAAGCGCUUCCAAUACCUCAAAAAUAAUACUGGUACGAAUAUCAGAACAAAAAGCCCAUUAUUAAGUUUCUUUGGCUUACCAGGCUUGAUAACUUCUCCAGGUUGGGACUUAAUCAUCAGCUGUCUAUUGUCUAAGUGAGUCAAGACAAACUGAAAACCACAUAGAGCCUCAGUCAAGGUCAAGGUGUGUUCUACAAAGAGAUCAUCUCCCUUUCGCUUAAACUUGGGAUGUAACCGAUAAUAUAAAAACCAAACCGACCGAUGCACACCCUUAACUACGGUCAGAGAGUUAAAUAAAUCGAAAAGAAAAGAGUCUGAGGUUGCUCCACAGAAAGCUAACACUCUUAGGGGUCAUUUGGUUGGGAAUGUAAUUAUACUGGGAUUAGUUUUGGUGGAAUAAAUUAUGAUGUGAUAAAUUAUACUAAGAUUAGUUGUAUUGAGACUAUUUUUUAUUGAGUGUUUGAUUUGUUGUAUUUAAAAUAAUAUGCAUGGUUUGUUUUAUUGCGUUAUAUAUAUAUAUAUAUAUAUGAUAAUCUAAAAAUUUGGAGGGCAAUUGUACCCUUUUCUAAUUUUUUCUAAUUUUAUCUCAAGAAUAAAUAAUGAUGGGAUUGUUAUCCCACCAAAUGGGUGAAUAACUUAUCCCAAUACUAUUUAUUAAUCCCAGAAUAAUAUCCCAAAUAUUGCCAACCAAAUACGCAUUAAAAUUUUUAUCCUGAAAUUAUUAUUUUAUCCCGGAAUUAUUUGGUUUUUUACCUUACACCAAAGGACCCUUAAAAUAGGAGAGAGUGAAGUAAGACUGAUGCAGCAUAAGUCUAAGAACAUUGAUGAGAGAGCUGCAUAUGGAAAAAUAAUCAUGAUACUACUACCAUUAGUAAAAUAGGACAGCCCGAGCAUAAAAUCUCCCGCUAUACAUGGUAUCCGAGGAAAAACUAGAGCACAAGGAUACGCAAUCUGAUCCUACAUUUCUACAAGAGGUUAUUUCGAUGGCUUAAACCCGUCGUCCUCCUGAUCACAUGACGACAACUUUACCAAUUACACCAACGCUCCCCUUCUUACCCUUUAUAUCAGUCUAGACGCGAU
rnacentral:lncRNA from 1 species